UACGUAGGGUGCAAGCGUUGUCCGGAAUUAUUGGGCGUAAAGAGCUCGUAGGCGGUCUGUCGCGUCGAAUGUGAAAACCCGGGGCUCAACCCCGGGCCUGCAUUCGAUACGGGCAGACUAGAGUUCGGUAGGGGAGUCUGGAAUUCCUGGUGUAGCGGUGAAAUGCGCAGAUAUCAGGAGGAACACCGAUGGCGAAGGCAGAUCUCUGGGCCGUAACUGACGCUGAGGAGCGAAAGCAUGGGGAGCGAACAGG
rnacentral:rRNA from 1 species